rnacentral:rRNA from 1 species
UAAACUAGGAUUAGAUACCCUAUUAUUUUGUCUGUAAAUAUUUUCUGGGUAGUAAUGGUUGGGUUCCUCAAACCCAAAGAAUUUGGCGGUGUUUUAUUCUCUUUAGAGGAAUUUGCCUCGUGAUCGAUAGUCCUCGUUUUAUCUUACUUGAUUUUGUUAUCAGUUUGUAUACCGCCGUUAUAAGUUUAUUUUUAUAGGAUUUAAUUUACUUUCUAUUGUAUUUGGUUAUAUUUCAGGUCAAGGUGCAGUUUAUGGUUAAGUGGUGGUGAGUUACAUUAUAAUAUGUGUAUAUGGAUGGUCUUUUUAUAUUGGGUCUUAAAGGUGGAUUUAAUAGUAAUUAUGUUAAUAGAGGCGUAGUGAUUUUGGCUCUAAAAUAAGCACACAUCG